CGCUUCCUCUUUCCCUCCGCUCUGCCCAUGAUCUUCUCCUGUCCGCUGCUCGCACCUGUACGGCCAACUCUCGCCUGCACGACUUCUCGCGGGCAGCUCCCUUUCUAUGGAAUAGCCUGCCUACCACCAUCAGACUCUCCCCUAGUCUUCAAUCAUUUAAGAAGUGCCUUAAGACCCAUCUCUUUAGGAAAGAGUUUGGCCUCCCAGACUAACCUCUACCUCACAUACCUGUCUCUUGCUCUCUCCUAAAGGGCAGCACUCUACUCUCUCCUCCAGCCCUGCUUCACUCCCACCUUAUUUGAUUGCUAUUUCCUGUCCUAAUGUGUUUUACUCCCCACCUACUAUAGACUGUAAGCUCGUUUGAGCAGGACCCUCUUCAACCUAUUGUUCCUGUAAGUUUUCCUGUAAUUUCCUAUUAAUAACAUUGUAAAGCACUACAGAAUCUGUUGACGCAAUUUAAAUGGUGAGAAUAAUAAUAAUAAGUCUGGCAGAAUCAUUCAAUAUGGACUCUAAUUGAGCAAUCUGGG